GACGAACGCUGGCGGCGUGCUUAACACAUGCAAGUCGAACGGUAAGGCUCCAGCUUGCUGGGGUACACGAGUGGCGAACGGGUGAGUAACACGUGGGUGACCUGCCCUGCACUUCGGGAUAAGCCUGGGAAACUGGGUCUAAUACCGGAUAGGACCGCACCGUGAGGGUGUGGUGGAAAGUUUUUUCGGUGUGGGAUGGGCCCGCGGCCUAUCAGCUUGUUGGUGGGGUAAUGGCCUACCAAGGCGGCGACGGGUAGCCGGCCUGAGAGGGUGGACGGCCACAUUGGGACUGAGACACGGCCCAGACUCCUACGGGAGGCAGCAGUAGGGAAUAUUGCACAAUGGGCGGAAGCCUGAUGCAGCGACGCCGCGUGGGGGAUGACGGCCUUCGGGUUGUAAACUCCUUUCACCAUCGACGAAGGGUUUCUGACGGUAGAUGGAGAAGAAGCACCGGCUAACUACGUG
rnacentral:rRNA from 1 species